UGGGGAAUAUUGCACAAUGGGCGCAAGCCUGAUGCAGCCAUGCCGCGUGUGUGAAGAAGGCCUUCGGGUUGUAAAGCACUUUCAGCGAGGAGGAAGGUGGUGGACUUAAUACGUUCAUCAAUUGACGUUACUCGCAGAAGAAGCACCGGCUAACUCCGUGCCAGCAGCCGCGGUAAUACGGAGGGUGCAAGCGUUAAUCGGAAUUACUGGGCGUAAAGCGCACGCAGGCGGUUUGUUAAGUCAGAUGUGAAAUCCCCGGGCUCAACCUGGGAACUGCAUUUGAAACUGGCAAGCUAGAGUCUCGUAGAGGGGGGUAGAAUUCCAGGUGUAGCGGUGAAAUGCGUAGAGAUCUGGAGGAAUACCGGUGGCGAAGGCGGCCCCCUGGACGAAGACUGACGCUCAGGUGCGAAAGCGUGGGGCAGCAAACAGGAUUAGAUACCCUGGUAGUCCACGCUGUAAACGAUGUCGAUUUGGAGGUUGUGCCCUUGAGGCGUGGCUUCCGGAGCUAACGCGUUAAAUCGACCGCCUGGGGAGUACGGCCGCAAGGUUAAAAC
rnacentral:rRNA from 1 species